rnacentral:rRNA from 1 species
GACGAACGCUGGCGGCGUGCUUAACACAUGCAAGUCGAACGGAAAGGCCCUGCUUUUGUGGGGUGCUCGAGUGGCGAACGGGUGAGUAACACGUGAGUAACCUGCCCUUGACUUUGGGAUAACUUCAGGAAACUGGGGCUAAUACCGGAUAGGAGCUCCUGCUGCAUGGUGGGGGUUGGAAAGUUCCGGCGGUUGGGGAUGGACUCGCGGCUUAUCAGCUUGUUGGUGGGGUAGUGGCUUACCAAGGCUUUGACGGGUAGCCGGCCUGAGAGGGUGACCGGCCACAUUGGGACUGAGAUACGGCCCAGACUCCUACGGGAGGAAGCAGUGGGGAAUAUUGCACAAUGGGCGGAAGCCUGAUGCAGCAACGCCGCGUGCGGGAUGACGGCCUUCGGGUUGUAAACCGCUUUCGCCUGUGACGAAGCGUGAGUGACGGUAAUGGGUAAAGAAGCACCGGCUAACUACGUG